rnacentral:tRNA from 1 species
GGCCGUGUAGCUUAAAUAGAGUGGUGGUUUUGUAAGUCAUAGGUGCAUAUAUGUUGCCGCGGUCU